rnacentral:tRNA from 1 species
AUCUGGGAUAGCUCACUCAGUAGAGCAUGAGACUCUUAAUCGCAGGGUUGUGGGUUUGAGCCUCACAUUGGACU